CUCUUGGGUUUUUGGAAUUUGGUUCAACCUCAAACUAAUCAAGCUCCUUCUAAGCUCAAUUCUUCAUCUUUUACACUAAUUUUAUUUUUUUCUGUAUUUUUAAAAAAGCAUGGAACCACAAAUUACUCUCCAGGUAAUUUUUAUUUGUGAUAUAUUAGCUUGUUAGAACUUGAGCGGAUGGCUGUAAAAAUAUCCCAUUCUUCCUU
rnacentral:lncRNA from 1 species